rnacentral:rRNA from 1 species
GACGAACCGUACGAACGUUAUUCGGAAUUACUGGGCUUAAAGGGUGCGUAGGCUGUGCAGAAAGUUGGGUGUGAAAUCCCCCGGCUCAACCGGGGAAUAGCGCUCAAAACUACUGUGCUAGAGGGAGACAGAGGUAAGCGGAACUCAGGGUGGAGCGGUGAAAUGCGUUGAUAUCCUGAGGAACACCGGUGGCGAAAGCGGCUUACUGGGUCUCUUCUGACGCUGAGGCACGAAAGCUAGGGUAGCGAACGGGAUUAGAUACCCCGGUAGUCCUAGCCGUAAACGAUGAGCACUGGGUUGGAGGGUCCCUCAUAGCCUUCCAGCCGCAGCGAAAGUGUUAAGUGCUCCGCCUGGGGAGUAUGGUCGCAAGGCUGAA